rnacentral:rRNA from 1 species
GAUGAACGCUGGCGGCGUGCCUAAUACAUGCAAGUCGAGCGAACAGACGAGGAGCCUGCUCCUCUGACGUUAGCGGCGGACGGGUGAGUAACACGUGGAUAACCUACCUAUAAGACUGGGAUAACUUCGGGAAACCGGAGCUAAUACCGGAUAAUAUAUUGAACCGCAUGGUUCAAUAGUGAAAGACGGUUUUGCUGUCACUUAUAGAUGGAUCCGCGCCGCAUUAGCUAGUUGGUAAGGUAACGGCUUACCAAGGCAACGAUGCGUAGCCGACCUGAGAGGGUGAUCGGCCACACUGGAACUGAGACACGGUCCAGACUCCUACGGGAGGCAGCAGUAGGGAAUCUUCCGCAAUGGGCGAAAGCCUGACGGAGCAACGCCGCGUGUGUGAUGAAGGUCUUCGGAUCGUAAAACUCUGUUAUUAGGGAAGAACAAAUGUGUAAGUAACUAUGCACGUCUUGACGGUACCUAAUCAGAAAGCCACGGCUAACUACGUG